CGAAGGGGGCUAGCGUUGCUCGGAAUCACUGGGCGUAAAGCGCACGUAGGCGGCUUUUUAAGUCAGGGGUGAAAUCCUGGAGCUCAACUCCAGAACUGCCUUUGAUACUGAGAAGCUUGAGUCCGGGAGAGGUGAGUGGAACUGCGAGUGUAGAGGUGAAAUUCGUAGAUAUUCGCAAGAACACCAGUGGCGAAGGCGGCUCACUGGCCCGGUACUGACGCUGAGGUGCGAAAGCGUGGGGAGCAAACAGG
rnacentral:rRNA from 1 species